ensembl:lncRNA
CUUCAGGAUCCCCCACAGCCCAGGGGCUCUUUAUUUCCAAUCCGGCUGCCCCGACACCCGAGAGUGUCCCCAGCUUCACCCUAGAAGCCUGCCCCGCGGAACUCACCGAAUCAGCCAGGCCGUCGAAGGGCACCAGGUCUCAGCGGGGACGACUCUCCGCUCGCUGGGUUGCAGCCAUGCAGAGGUGGCAGAGGCUGCCUGAGGAAGCCCCCCUUGGGGGCCGAUGCCUCUCUCCAGCAGCCACUGGGAGCUUGUGAGGUCUGGGAAGGACUUGGAACCACCCCUUCAGCCAGCACAGUCCUCUCUGAGUCAUGGCAUCUUGCUGAGCUGUGAGGUUGCCCUUAUUUGAUAAGGGAACUACCGUAAAACACGAAUGGUAAAAUCUACACGGUGGAUAUUUGAGUGUCUACUGUAAAUGUCCUUCAACUUUGCUGUAGGUUUGAAAUGUUUCAUAAUAGAAUGAUUGAAAAAAUAUCUAUUCCUAUGUCGUCAAAAUCUUUCUAGGAACCUUAGGGUUUUAGAAAGUGGUCCUGAGGGACCACUAGUAAGUGGUGGGGGUGGGCAGAGGGAGCUGAAAAAGUUAGAGCUCUGGGGUCACCAAUUUCAACCAGAGAACGUUCAAUUUCAUCUCUUUUUCCUCUUGGAG